rnacentral:rRNA from 1 species
UACGAAGGGGGCUAGCGUUGCUCGGAAUCACUGGGCGUAAAGCGCACGUAGGCGGAUCUUUAAGUCAGGGGUGAAAUCCUGGAGCUCAACUCCAGAACUGCCUUUGAUACUGGGGAUCUCGAGUCCGGGAGAGGUGAGUGGAACUCCGAGUGUAGAGGUGAAAUUCGUAGAUAUGGGGAGGAACACCAGUGGCGAAGGCGACUACCUGGCCUGUUCUUGACGCUGAGGCGCGAAAGCUAGGGGAGCAAACGGG